ensembl:lncRNA
GUCUGGUACACAUGUCCUUUCUUUUCUGAUAAACUCAAUUUUCUCUACCUUGUUAUAUAUCCAGGGAUGUUUUCAAUCCUCAGCUGAUGGUUUGGCAGCUCAUAUGGAUGGGUGCCUCAGGCAGCCGUUGUGCCAACCUGCUAUUGAAUCUGGAACUGAAUAUUGGAGGGAGCAACUCCAGGAGGGCAGCCAGGGAGUGGUGAGAGAGCAUAGAUCACUGUGUGGCAGAAAAAUGGGGAAGGAGGGCACUACAAUGAAAGUAUAACUCUGGGGCUGAAAAAUAUUAGGCUCCAAUUCACAAUCUGUCUUGGCCUAGUCUCGAGUACAGCUGUAGUAACAUAUGAAUUGUCAGUUGCUCCCAUCUCUGACUUCUCAUAGCACAUAGCAUGUCUUUAUAAUAACACGUCACACGCAGUACUACAAUUAUCAAUUCACUUGUCUGUUCCUACUACUAAACUGAAGCCAGGACUAUGACAUUAUUGUGUGUGUGUACGUAGUACUGAUUAUUGGACUUCAUGGGAGACCCAAUAAAAAGCAUCUCUCAUCCCCAUUCCCCAAAUUCUGUACAAAUUGAUAGGCAAGAUAAAGAAGUAAUAGCAAACACUCACAUAGUACUUUCCUAAGCACUUUCCAUUAACUCUUUUAACAUAUAACAAUCUUGUAAAAGUAGAUACAGGUUUUCCCCCAUUUUACACAAGAGGAAAUUGAGAAAUAGGUUAAGUAGUUUGACAAAGACUAUCUAGCAUAUAAAUAGAAGUCUUUCCAGCAUCUAUGACAAGGCAGAGAGAGUUCAAAACGUCAACUUUUUCAAUUAUAGAAGUGACAGAGAUUGUGGUUUAAGUGAAAAGCAACAACAGAUUUCAUAAUACUGCACCUCAAUCUUGAAUAGCAUGACAAAACUGUAGUCCUCCCCAAGAGAAGCUUCAAGCACUAAGCUUAGCUCAUGGCCAAGAGCAGAGAAGAACGUAGGCUCUCUGAAGGCAGAAAGAGCCCAAAAGGAGAGCAAAGAAAGGACUGAGCAUCCCUGGUUCUUCUCCCUGUCUCCCCAACUUGAUCAUUCAUUCCACCUGCCUUGAAAGGGAGUGAGUAAGAUGAGAGGAGAGGAGCCAAGAGGUUAUGCUGAUGGAUGUUGCUUCCCUUGGGAACAUGAACCAGGAUAACGGAUGCUUUCCAAUCAAUACUCCCAAGACCUUGGUUCUCUUAACUCAUUUGGUUUAACUUUAAAUAUAUGGUCAAAAUGGUAUGGUUAUCUCCUUGAGGGAGAAUUUGGGCAGCCCAUUAGGGUCGUCUAAUUCUAUUUUUAUAAAGUUCUCCCCCAUACCAAUCCCUCCUGCAUUGAGGACUCUACUGAGGUUGCUGAUGACAGUGUAGAUGUUUCCCCACUGAAACAGGUCAUUAAUUAAAUUAAUUUUAAGACCACUGUAGCCAACCGAUAUUUGCCUGCCUAUGUUUUCCCCAUCCUGAUUUCUGUUCAAGCACACUGCCUAAUAUAACUCACCAGGAAAUUUCAAAUUAAUCCAAUAAUAAAAUUCCCAAUAUCGGAAUAUAAACUCCCUUCCAGGAUAAAAUUUUUUGGGAUAAAGUCCAUAGAUUAGAUUGUCUGGAAAGUCAAGUUCAAAUACAUCAAAAUUCAAAGUAAUUCAACUCCAAAAUCAAAUAUUCUUGUCCUCGGGUACGAAAAGCCCAAAGAAAGUGAAGUCCUUUUUGUAUUCUGCUUUCCCUUAGUUGAAGAUGUUUUCUCAAUGCCUGAAUAGAAUUUGGUUCCUUUAGCAACCACAGCCUGUGUUGUCCAUCACUGGAAUAUAGGUGGCUCCUUUGGACCACAGAAGCUGAAUUAGUUCCACAUCAAGUCCGUCAUGUACCUCACUUUUUAAAGAGUUCAAACAUUUAUUAGAACAUAAGAGAUUACUCCAGUAUGCUGUAAACCUAACAAUGUAGAAGCGAAGGUAAUUCCCAGUCCUCAAGCCCUCAUCUCAGGCAAAGAAACCCAGAACUUAGGGCUGCCGAAGAAUACAGCAAAGAGUCAAUGAUAUCUGAGAGAAGGGGGUAUAUGGGCGAAAUUUUGAUUCCGCCUCCAAAGGAGGUCAAUCAGGCCAUGCCUGCUCAAGAAAACCAUCACCUGCAAAUUUAAACUCUGUUGAGAGGUCUUUUUAAACAACAGUUAAUUUGGGCACAGUACUUCUAUCAUAUCUGAGAGGGAACUCCACCUAUGAGUUCUAUCUCCCAUCCCAGAAAGCGCCAUUUGACAUAGCAUGUGUUCUAGAGUUUAGAAAUUUGCAACGGUAGCAGUCCAAUCAUCAAGUCUUUUCCGAGGUAUCAUUGUUUCCCAUUCAAUGUAUUUAAACGUUCCUGAUUUCCAUUUCUCCUUUGAUUCCUGUGUCCCUGGCACCCUGGUCCUCUACUGAGUAUGACUCUUUCUAGAAGCAUAUUCCCAUACCCUCAUGCUAGCAGACAUUCUUACUCCUAUGCCUCAGUGUCUGUUAACAGAGCCCUUGCUAUGGAAUUUAAGGGGCCUAUGAAAACUGCCCCCUAGAGAAAGUUCUCCCUUUCCCUCCCUGGGUUUCAGCAGGACCAACGUCCUAGAACUGAGCUGCUGUUACUGCUUUGGAAACGUGUAUGUGAGGACCAAACUCUCUGACAUGUGCUCUUCAAAUACAGGAAAACACAGAAAGAGCUUAGGAAUUAACUAAUCCAGAACCAGUCUGGAGCCAAUUUGAGUGUUUGUAGGGGGGUAGGAGUGGUGAUACAGAGCCUGUGAGGCAACUGCCACUGGCAGCAUUAUCUUUUCUACGAGAGAGACCUGAGUCAUAGAGAAGUCGAUUAUGAGCUAAAACUAGAAAAACUUUGGCAUCUUAGUGCCAGGCUGUAAAGCAGAAGUUAGACGAAAUGAGUGUUACAGUUUCACAAAAGGGACACUUAAAACUGGCAGUUCCUGAGUCACUUCCACAGGUCGGGCCCUGCACGAGGCCUGGCGUGGUCACAACGACAGAGAAACAGGCCCUGCUCUUUCUUCAGGCUUGUGGCUAAGGGAGAGUUGACUGUCUUAAUCCUUGCUUCUUCCUUUCUUUUGUUUGGAUGCUUUCAUGGGUCUCUCUUACAUCAAAGGGAAUAAUCUUCAUUAAAGUCCAUCUUUCUUCUAAAAAUAAAAAGGUCAGAGUAUAAAUUCAAGAUCUGUUCUGUUUUAGGAGGAGGAAACAAAAAG